CCCUUAGAUGUCCUGGGCCGCACGCGCGCUACACUGAGUGUCUGAGAUACGAGUCUGCCUGGUCCGGCAAGGUCUAGGUAAUCGCUAAAAGACACAUCAUGCUUGGGAUAGAUUAUUGCAAAUAUUAAUCUUGAACGAGGAAUUCCUAGUAAGCGCAAGUCAACAGCUUGCGUUUAUUACGUCCCUGCCCUUUGUACACACCGCCCGUCGCUACUACUGAUUGGAUGUUUAAGCGAGGUUCUCGAACUGCUAGCGACUUAGCUUCGGUGAGGUCGCAGUGUGGGAAGUGAACCUAGCUUUGGGGUCUAGAGGAAGUAAAAGUCGUAACA
rnacentral:rRNA from 1 species